AGCCAGAUAUUCCACAUUCUUUUAAUUCGCCCAAAAACAUGCGCUGGAUGGUAAGUCUGGGUCUUCCUCUUGUUCUCUUACCAUCAGGGGCCCAUGUAAGCGCAACAGAUGAAAUUUUUUCUUUGGGCAUUCUAAGGAUAUGUCCGAGCCAGCUCCAUCUUCGUUUAAAAGUUCUUUGUUAGCAUUAAAUUCAACAAGGUAUGUAUUUGUGUUAAAUCAAUCUAAGACUUUUUAAUUCAAUUUUAUCUCCAAUAUCUCAUUUCGUUUUUGAGAUAGAAAUGUUAACUCCAAGUUUUUUCAGCAUUUAGAUAUAGAGCUUUGCACAUUACCUCUUUGUUAUGUAUAGUCACUUUACAAUACAUAGACACCACUUUUGCUUCAGAGAGUCCCACAUCCUUAUAUAAUUCAGUCAGCAAUCCAGGUAGUAUCAAUGAUUUCACAUUGUAUUCAACACCAUCUUUGCCAAAUAUAUCAUUGGGGACACCUCCUGUACCUACAUCUGCUGAAAUUGGUAAAAGUGCUGUACCAGCUGGUUCUGAAGUACAGGAAAGAGAUAUUUCCACCAUAAGACUAGGAAUGCCUCUUGCAUCAAAUGUCUUACAGUCUUUAACAUAUUACCCAGCAUUACCGGAACCAUUCAAAGACCUCUUGGGAGAACACAGUCAGCUCCACUACCUCUUGAUCAUCCAAUGCUACAAUCACAAGCCAUACUUUUAUCACCUCAACAAAAUGAACAAUAUGCUCGAGAAAAGAGACUCUGUGAGCAGCAGCAACAUAAUCUACUCAAACAAGUACCUACAUCAGGCAUCAUUUGGGAAGGCCUCUGUCUCGAACAUUAUCAAGUCCUCUUGUUGCUCUUAGUCCGAUUGGAAGACCUCAGGAAACGCAAGCUCAUUCUCCUCAUACAUUUACAACAGGUGUUUUGUACGACAGUUUAAUGUUAAAACAUCAAUGUGUUUGUGGUAACAAUGCUCAUCAUCCUGAACAUGGUGGUCGCCUACAAAGUACAUGGGCAAGGUUACAGGAAGCCAGUCUUCUUAAUAGAUGCGAGUGAUUCAGAUCCAGGAAAGAAACCCUAGAAGAAAUCCAGUCUUGUCAUAGUGAAUCAUAUACUCUCUUAUUUGAGGCCAAUCCUUUGAAUCGAUCGAAACUUGAUGCCAGCAAAUUAGCUGAUCUUCCAAUGAAGAAUUUUGUGAUGUUCCCUUGUGGUGGCAUUGGUGUAGAUUCUGACACAACUUGAAAUGAUCUACGCACAGCAAGUCCUGCAAGAAUGGCUACUGGAUGUGUUGUUGAAUUGGCCAUGAAAGUAGCAA
rnacentral:misc_RNA from 1 species